UCAGUCUUACGUAAGCCAGUAACGUGUAACAUUCUCCUUACCAAGUCCACUUUAAGACAAUAUCUAUCAGUAAAAAUGAACUCGGUUUACUUUUUCGUGCUGAUUUUGUGUUUCCUAACUACUUUCUCCAACUUUGUCUCAAGGGUGGAAUCCUUCCCGAUAUCAGCCGAUAACCGCGACUUAUUAUUAGAAGCCGAUUAUAGAUCAAACUAUGAAGAUUACAGAUCACCCGAGUUAAAGAGACGACAUCAGCGAAUGCUGUGUUUCUUUUCCUAUAUUUUUACUAACAAGUGUUAAAGAAAAUUACAGAAUAAACCCACUGAUUUUUUUAAAUGCAUUAACAAAGAGUUGUGUCACAACUCACAAAAUAAUGUCCCACAAUAAAGAAACUUGUGUAACAUAGGUACUUAUUAUCUG